UAGUAUAUAACUUAAUAAAGGUCAAAAUAAGACUGAUGUAUGGUCGGGUCGUGUCACGAUGGCGUACACGGCCGAGAUUAGUAAAUACAAUUGAGCAGGUGAUUUAGCGAAACGGCCUGGAACAAGGUGAAGAGUCGAGGAAAAUUGUGUUGAAAAGACGACGUCGGGAACCGGAAACUCAAAGCACUGCAGGAAUCUGCAGAUAACUACGGGAAUAUGUUUCGUGUUGGUUGUCUGAACGACC